UACGGAAGGCAGCAGGGGGAAUAUUGCACAAUGGGCGCAAGCCUGAUGCAGCCAUGCCGCGUGUAUGAAGAAGGCCUUCGGGUUGUAAAGUACUUUCAGUCGUGAGGAAGGUGUUAAGGUUAAUAACCUUAGCAAUUGACGUUAGCGACAGAAGAAGCACCGGCUAACUCCGUGCCAGCAGCCGCGGUAAUACGGAGGGUGCGAGCGUUAAUCGGAAUUACUGGGCGUAAAGGGCACGCAGGCGGUUAAUUAAGUUGGAUGUGAAAUCCCCGGGCUUAACCUGGGAAUGGCAUUCAAGACUGGUUAGCUAGAGUCUUGUAGAGGGGGUAGAAUUCCAUGUGUAGCGGUGAAAUGCGUAGAGAUGUGGAGGAAUACCGGUGGCGAAAGGCGGCCCCUGGACAAAAGACUGACGCUCAUGUGCGAAAAGCGUGGGGAGCAAAACAGGGAUUAGAUACC
rnacentral:rRNA from 1 species